rnacentral:rRNA from 1 species
GACGAACGCUGGCGGCGUGCCUAAUACAUGCAAGUGGGACGCAAGGGAACACACUGUGCUUGCACACCGUGUUUUCUUGAGUCGCGAACGGGUGAGUAACGCGUAGGUAACCUGCCUAUUAGCGGAGGAUAACUAUUGGAAACGAUAGCUAAUACCGCAUAAUAUUAAUUAUGCAUGAUAAUUGAUUGAAAGAUGCAAGCGCAUCACUAGUAGAUGGACCUGCGUUGUAUUAGCUAGUUGGUAAGGUAAGAGCUUACCAAGGCGACGAUACAUAGCCGACCUGAGAGGGUGAUCGGCCACACUGGGACUGAGACACGGCCCAGACUCCUACGGGAGGCAGCAGUAGGGAAUCUUCGGCAAUGGACGAAAGUCUGACCGAGCAACGCCGCGUGAGUGAAGAAGGUUUUCGGAUCGUAAAGCUCUGUUGUAAGUCAAGAACGUGUGUGAGAGUGGAAAGUUCACACAGAGA